rnacentral:lncRNA from 1 species
CGCGCGAAUACACCUUCACAAUCAAAUUCACGCGAAACAGCACAUAAAAUAUUGCACUUUUUGCGAAAUUACCGUUUUGCCAACACCGACCUCUCCUCAAUCAACGUGCAAUCUCCGCAGAUCUGUCCGUCAAAUUUGCGAACAGAUCGCACCAGUGCGAUCAGCACGACGGAGACAACAAAGCUACAAAUUUGGUUCACCUCGAUCGACCACGGAUUCGCGACGAAAUCCGUUUUCUCUCCAAAAGGCCAAAUGACGCACAAAUACAUAUAAACAUGUAUUUUCGAAUUUUCUCAAAAUCCGUGCGUCAAACUCAAAAUCCAUCAACGCCAAUAGUUCCAGAAUAGCUGAACCGUUUGAAAUGAGCUAUUGGACUGCUAUGAACGGACACCGAUACGGGCCAGAAGCCAACUUCGUACCGUGGCUUCUCCGAAAAAUCGAGUUACUAUUCACUUUAAGUGAAAUUUGGAGAUCGCGUAAAAUCUCCGUUCUAACUCAUUUUCUUCCAAAACUUGACGAGUGCUUUUGUAAUUAAAUUACACACAAAAACAUCAUCAACUGAGAGUUUAGCUACACUACCAAAAUCUCGGUCCUUACACACGCCCCCUGUUUUGUUAUUUUUAUUUACAGAGCCUUCCACUCCGGGUGAGGCUAGGGGCCGCGGCA